rnacentral:misc_RNA from 1 species
GAGCAAGGCUUGCCCGCGAUGGCGUCGUGUCAGUCAGCAUCACCAUUGACUGAUCUACCGCCAUCGCGGGCAAGCCUCGCUC